rnacentral:tRNA from 1 species
CGGCCUAGCUCAAUUGGUAGAGCAACUGACUUGUAAUCAGAGGGUCAGAGGUUCGAAUCCUCUAUGGCUCA